rnacentral:rRNA from 1 species
UACGUAGGUGGCAAGCGUUGUCCGGAAUUACUGGGUGUAAAGCGCGUGUAGGCGGGAGGCCAAGUCUGCUGUGAAAUCGCUCGGCUCAACUGGGCGGGGUCGGUGGAAACUGGUCACCUGGAGGACGGUAGAGGCGAGUGGAAUUCCCGGUGUAGUGGCGAAAUGCGUAGAGAUCGGGAGGAACACCAGUGGCGAAGGCGGCUCGCUGGGCCGGUCCUGACGCUGAGACGCGAAGGCGUGGGGAGCGAACGGG